ensembl:lncRNA
CGGGAAGAGGACGCGCGUGCUGAAUGGAAUGGUGGCCCGGUGGUUUGUGACCAUCGGCGCGGUGCUGAUGCUGAUGAUGCAGAGCUCCCUGGCCGCUGACGCUGAGGGAGGUCAUCAUGAGUCAAUGAGGCAGGCUGACUUGCUUCUGGACCCCGCAGUGACUUCCAACCUCUCGGCCACCCCUGGGAUUGGAGACAAAGCUGGGGCUAACAACAAGGAUACAAUGGAUGGGCCUCACACUGGUCCUGAUGCUGGGUCUGAAGCUUGGCCUGAGGCAAAAGUGUUUGCUGAAGCCAGAACAGCAGUUUGGACAGAAACAGAAGCAGGAGUGCGUGCUGAAGCAGGUGGCAAAGUCUUUACCGAGACUGGGAUUAUGACAGGAACUGGUGCUUGGGCUGAAGUCGGAGCAGAAUGGAGGCCCGUAGACACAGAAGGGGAAGACCUGCCGAGCAUGCCUGGGGACACAGCUCCCUGGCUGGGGCAGCGGAGGCUACAGACAGAUGGAGAGGAAAGAAGAGAGCAGGCAGCUUUCUCAUCUGUCCUAACCAUGCUGGCAGAGACAGCAGAGCUGCAGGCUCCAGUGGUUGGAAAACCUUUAGGGCUGCUGUCUAAAGCUGCUUGGACCAAAAGCUCCUCUUCAUCAUCGGCCAAAGCCACCUCCUCCUCUACGACAAAAGCAUCCUCUUUGCCUUCUUCCUCCACAUCCUCCUCCUCUCCAGCUAGUACACUACAAGACAGUCACACAGCAGGAUCACAGAAUAUAUCUGUGCUUGUUGUCAACACUAACUACUCCAACAGCAACAGUAGCCCCACCAUUGAGGACUCAGUGAGCAGCCUGCCGGCCUGGGAUCUCCCUACAGUUCCCGAAUCACUCCUGUCCACAGUGGGUGACCAUGAUGUCACACUUCCUGCCAAUGUCACCAGCCCUUUCUCCACCCACCAGUGGAACACCACUGCACCUGUGCGCACCAGAAACGCCUCACGGCGUCCGACCACCACAACAACCACCACCACCAUAAAGAUGCCUCUGUCUCCCACUACCAGCUCAACUUUACCAUUCCCCACAACUGCAAGAGCACAAACACCACCAGAAUCCAGCACGGCUACACACAUCACAAGCCAGGACACUGUGACCAAUGACAGUCUUCAGCUGACAACAGUAACUACAACAACACCCUUAACGACCACUCUUACUGUGACCACCGAUGAUAUGAUGAAUCAGGCAGCAACCACUGGGAACAAUGCAACGUUAUCGCCAAAUACCAGUGCUGCAACCACUACGCAGCAAACAACAAGCAUCAGACUUACCACAACAACUCAACCUGCAACCACUACAACAACCACACCUGCCCCGACUACUGCUUCUACUACUACUCUUCCC